ensembl:snRNA U2 U2 spliceosomal RNA
AUCACUUCUUGGCCUUUUGGCUAAGAUCAAGUGUACUAUCUGUUCUUAUCAGAUUAAUAAAGCAACAUACUGUGACCAUGAGCAUAUGAUCAAGGUGAUCCAUUGAGUUCCUUAUUUGUUAACCUCAUCUGAUCUUAAAUUUCAUAGAUUCUGCAUUGCACGUUCCACAGUUGCAUUACCUUAAUAUCCCAA